AUUGAACGCUGGCGGCAUGCUUUACACAUGCAAGUCGAACGGUAACAGGUUAAGCUGACGAGUGGCGAACGGGUGAGUAAUGCAUCGGAACGUGCCCGGUCGUGGGGGAUAACGCAGCGAAAGCUGCGCUAAUACCGCAUACGAUCUGAGGAUGAAAGCGGGGGACCGUAAGGCCUCGCGCGAUCGGAGCGGCCGAUGUCAGAUUAGGUAGUUGGUGGGGGUAAAAGGCUCACCAAGCCGACGAUCUGUAGCUGGUCUGAGAGGACGACCAGCCACACUGGGACUGAGACACGGCCCAGACUCCUACGGGAGGCAGCAGUGGGGAAUUUUGGACAAUGGGCGCAAGCCUGAUCCAGCAAUGCCGCGUGCAGGAAGAAGGCCUUCGGUUGUAAACUGCUUUGUACGGAGCGAAAAGGACUCUCUCUAAUACAGGGGGCUCGAUGACGGUACCGUAAGAAUAAG
rnacentral:rRNA from 1 species